AUACGGAGGAUGCAAGCGUUAUCCGGAUUUAUUGGGUUUAAAGGGUUCGUAGGCGGAAAAUUAAGUCAGUGGUGAAAGCCUGCAGCUCAACUGCAGAACUGCCAUUGAUACUGAUUUUCUUGAAUUUAUAUGAAGUGGGCGGAAUGCGUCAUGUAGCGGUGAAAUGCACAGAUAUGACGCAGAACACCAAUUGCGAAGGCAGCUCACUAAUGUAAUAUUGACGCUGAGGAACGAAAGCGUGGGGAGCAAACAGGAUUAGAAACCCUAGUAGUCC
rnacentral:rRNA from 1 species